rnacentral:rRNA from 1 species
AGGUAGCUUGCUACUGGACCUAGCGGCGGACGGGUGAGUAAUGCUUAGGAAUCUGCCUAUUAGUGGGGGACAACAUCUCGAAAGGGAUGCUAAUACCGCAUACGUCCUACGGGAGAAAGCAGGGGACCUUCGGGCCUUGCGCUAAUAGAUGAGCCUAAGUCGGAUUAGCUAGUUGGUGGGGUAAAGGCCUACCAAGGCGACGAUCUGUAGCGGGUCUGAGAGGAUGAUCCGCCACACUGGGACUGAGACACGUCCCAGACUCCUACGGGAGGCAGCAGUGGGGAAUAUUGGACAAUGGGGGGAACCCUGAUCCAGCCAUGCCGCGUGUGUGAAGAAGGCCUUUUGGUUGUAAAGCACUUUAAGCGAGGAGGAGGCUACCGAGAUUAAUACUCUUGGAUAGUGGACGUUACUCGCAGAAUAAGCACCGGCUAACUCUGUGCCAGCAGCCGCGGUAAUACAGAGGGUGCAAGCGUUAAUCGGAUUUACUGGGCGUAAAGCGCGCGCAGGUGGCCAAUUAAGUCAAAUGUGAAAUCCCCGAGCUUAACUUGGGAAUUGCAUUCGAUACUGGUUGGCUAGAGUAUGGGAGAGGAUGGUAGAAUUCCAGGUGUAGCGGUGAAAUGCGUAGAGAUCUGGAGGAAUACCGAUGGCGAAGGCAGCCAUCUGGCCUAAUACUGACACUGAGGUGCGAAAGCAUGGGGAGCAAACAGGAUUAGAUACCCUGGUAGUCCAUGCCGUAACGAUGUCUACUAGCCGUUGGGGCCUUUGAGGCUUUAGUGGCGCAGCUAACGCGAUAAGUAGACCGCCUGGGGGAGUACGGUCGCAAGACUAAAACUCAAAUGAAUUGACGGGGGCCCGCACAAGCGGUGGAGCAUGUGGUUUAAUUCGAUGCAACGCGAAGAACCUUACCUGGUCUUGACAUAGU